rnacentral:rRNA from 1 species
AGGCAUCGUUAAACAACAACCCAUCGACGAGAAGGGGUUAUUCUUACGGUAGAGUUGGACGAGGCAGCUACGUGUAGACGAUGAGCAUCUUAUGUUAUGUGUGUGUGUUGUUCGUCGGUCGGGUUCCUCUCGGUGCUGGCUCAGCCGUCGUUACCGCCUGGAGCGCCAGCCGAACCGGUUUAGCCACCACCUCCCCCGCAACUGGUUCCGGGUCAGCCGGUAGCUCCUCCUGAGGUUCGACGCCGUCUCGCGCGUCGCGCUGGACCACAAGUAGUGACCGCUCAAGGUCUACUACGUCAGGAAGGACUUCGAGCGCCUGCUGCUCGCGUGGUCCUUGUAGCACCACUCCUGGACCCACGCCGUCUAGGCCCUCGACCGGAUGCUGCACCUCCUGACGUAGCUCAAGCAGGAGGUGGAGCUGUUCUUCAGGGUCACCACCGCGGCGGACGAGGGCGGGAAGCACAGCCGGCGGUCCGUCGGCGAGCUGCUCCGGUAGCGGCUCUAUGCCGUCGAGUUCUAGGCCCAGCUCCUGCACUCGAGGUCCUUGCGCGCGAUGUCGGAGUAGUCGCUGAGGCCGAGGUUCGGGCAGCAGCACGUGGUCGUCGGCCGCCGCCGCCGGGCGCGGCGCUACCCGCGGUGCCGCAAGGUGUACGAGCAGCUCCGCUGCCUGUAGCGCUUCGCCGUUAUACCCCUAGAGUGGGUCGAGUAGUGGUUCUUUCUGUUGCCAAAAGUCCACUAGAGCCACACCCCCUGACCGCCGCUAGAACCCUGCGAUAGGUAGUAGUCCUUCCGCAAGCUACUAGGUCUUUAAACGGUUUUGAAGUGGACGGCACGGACCUAGUUUGAGCAGGUGGGAAAGUUGGGGGUGCUCAAGUAGGCCUCGAACUCCCAAGUCAAGAUACGUUUGAGAACGUUUCUUGGUCUCAGUUAGUAGCCACGUCCCCAGGAAUCCUACUACCUCCGAUGAGUUCUGCUAGACCUCUCUAAGUACUUCCUUGAGUUGUCGUUCUUCAUGUAGUAGCAGAAUCUUCUACACAGGUGGUAACAUCUGACCCUACGACAGUCUUACAAAUAAGGGUCGUCAUUCUUACCGUCGACAUAGUAACACAGCUGAGUCGUUAGGCUUUAUCGUUCGCAGACACACCCCGUAAGUAUGGUUCAUAACCUCGACUUCGUCAAGAGGUGGCUCGUGAGCCAAAUACGGAAGUGUCUCCCUAGAGUUCCACUACCUUAAUUUCGGCUCCUCUAUAGGUGUCUCGUACUUCGCUCUGGACUGUGUUAAGAGUGGAGAUUUUUACUACGUCGGGAACUAACCUACCUCUUCAUGGGGUAGUGACCUGGACCGCAACCCUUUAGUUGAGAGUAGUCUUUGAACAAGACACUGUUUUAAGAAGUGUGUUGGGACAAACUUUUCAUACCAACCCACCUACAUAGUGUAGGCAAGUUAAAUUCCCUGAAGACAGCCUCGAAUAAUAACCUAAAAGUAAGACUUAGUGAACUUCGAUGCCUCCAACGAAGGUUGUUGUACUAUUCUUAGUUUUUGGGGUAAGUCCUCACACCACUAGAAGACCUAGUUGUAGCAACGGAGCAGCAAUAACUACUAGACGUCAGGUUCCUUCUUACCCUGUACUAUUUUCGACGUAAUAACAGAUCUAGUAGAUUUUCACAAUAGUAACGGUAAUGUUGGCUUCGUUUGUAACGGUGUACAACGCGCCUAUUCCUUCUGGAACAUAAAUUACAGUUUCCAGAAGUUCGGUUACGUCGGAAACUAGAGAAGGUAGUCCUCCACCAAUCCUUUUUGGGUAACAGGCGAAACUUCUUAGAGUUUCUUCUUGGCUUCGAUUUUCUUGAAUAAGAGUUCACACCACCCGAAGGUGUUCAUUAUCAACGUUAUCGACCACAUAACCGGUUCUUCUGUCAGUGUGAUUACCUAUGGCAUCUAAGAUGGUUACUGUCUAAGUACGUGUGUGACCUUUGGUUGGGUCUCAUACUGUCAGAUGCCCCGGACAAACCAACCUACAUAAGGAUGAAGGCAUCGACGGGUCUAAGGGAGUUCGGUACGUAGAAGAUGUACAGUGAAAAGGGGGCUCUAGUGUCGUGAGCUUCCUCUGCACACCACUCCGCCACCCAACGCCUCCCGAUGAGAGCCCUGUCACUUCUGUUUAGUCGUCUCGUUUUACCCCUCCACAAGAAGAGGUUCGAGGAGCUAGACUCGUAUUAGGUCGUUCGCGGUGUCGAUCAGUGGUGACGUAACCCACUGUGUUCCUACUAGAGUACGGUACAAUUACCAAAGUAGGCACUUAUGUAGCAGAGUGCCGCCUACCUCCUCUUGGAACAGAAACUCGACCUCCCGACGACGCUGUACUGGUGCGUUGCGUGCCCCGCAGUGGAGUAGUAUUCCCUCUCGACCCUGUCCCUGUUCUAGCACAAGGUCUCAUACCUAAAGAGCUCCGAUGCCAGUGAUUGACACAAACCCUUCACCUUUGUUAAGAAGCAGAGGCUUUCGUACUUCGACGAGGCCCAAGAACUAGAUCUCCUACGUAACCCACAUCUCCUACGACUAGAACUCUUUUACGACUUCGUCGAGGCAGCAGAGUUCAAGGAGAGCGACGCUCCUACGUCACCCUAGGUGUUAAACGGUUCGAGUAAUCCACUAAACUCCGUCGAGGUCUGAGAACUAUAGUCUACGUGGAGGUAUGACUUGGACGGUCGUUUGUAGUGGUUUGAUGUCUUCGACGUCAUGUAAGCAAGACCGUGGAGACAAGUCCGUCUUCUUAGUAGUUGUGGUACAGAAAGUCAUGGGGUUGAGACGCCUGCAGUGGAGGAUCAACCACAAUGCCACGGACCUCCUUAACUGUUUGACUGUCGCAACGUAUGUGAGCCAUAACAGUUGUAACCGCGUAGUCCCCCCUUCCGGUAGGAGUUUCUCGACUUCCUGGAGUGGGUUAACAUGUUCGAGCCUCACAGGCCGUAGUUGUUCUCUUUGACGUUCUUCAAGAGGAGACGUUAGAGUCCAGUGCAGGUAAACCUUAGGAACAGCCAGGUUGACCUGUUCCUGUCAGGUCCAACAAACCGACCGUAGAGGGACGGAAACUUCUCGGACGUCUCGGAAUUUGACGUACCCGGGCAGCUCUUCAACGGUCAAAACUUCUAGCUGCUCGAAUCGUUCGACUGUUUCAACCUAAACCUCUACUGGUACAACUGUCUCCCACUGUAUUUCGAGUAGCCCUCAGAUGGUUUUGAUACAUGAGAAGCACAGUUCGAUGAGGUUCUAUCAUUGGAGGUAAAAACACGUUACCUCUUACCUGAACUCAACCGGUGAAUAGUUUUCUAGUUCUGGGAGCUUUAACGAACGUCGAAGUCAAAUGCGCAACGGAAACCAAGUCUUUGUUACUUUUUAGAACUCGACGACUUCCGAACAACGUCACCAAACAGUCACGUCAAGUAACCGGAUCUCUUAGAGUGACCUGAGUUCCUUCGGAACGACAUUCCCGUAGAGGCACACACAUAGGAUUGACCUGGAGGUUUGUCCAGUAUUGCACACGAUUUACGUAUUUCCAAUUUAGACAGGUAUUCUACCCGGGGUGGACCAUUAACACCGGUAUCCCAACAUUGAUCUUAAAUAAAAAUUCCGAAUUAUAUAAUAACAACAUUACUUGUUAUGAAAAAUAUAGAAUACUGGUACCUGAUGGGUGUUCGAACCAGACGGG